rnacentral:lncRNA from 1 species
AAUUUAAUUUUAUAUUUGGCUUAAACAUUUUGAAGUUUGGUUCACAAGUUUUCUUUCACUUUAUUAUCUAUCUUAAUACAGAAAUAUAAGGUGUAAAUCUGCUAAACAAAGAGAGAUUAUUUUCAAGUUAUCUUGUAGGUAUUUAUCUCGUCUAUGAAAAAAAGCAAGGCGACAGAUUAAAUUAUGUAAUGUCCAUUAGUUCUUUUGUAAGGGUUAACAAAUAAAUACUUUAUGUAAUUAGACGUCUUUUGACAAGUUAAGUGACAAAGAAGGAAAUAGAAAUAGCCACAUUGACAAUGAGUGGUUUUGCACGUGGUACGAUAAUCUGCCACUUUUACACUGAAAAUUUUGUGAAAUAAAUUUUGAUUGGCUCAAAACCUGAAAAUUAGUUUAAUUCCAUGGAUUCACUUUUUUCUUUGAUUAGCGUCACUCUGCCAUACGC